UACAGAGGUCCCGAGCGUUGUUCGGAUUUAUUGGGCGUAAAGGGUGCGUAGGCGGCCAACUAAGUCGGAUGUGAAAUCCCCAGGCUUAACCUGGGAACUGCAUCCGAUACUGGAUGGCUUGAAUUCGGGAGAGGGAUGCAGAAUUCCAGGUGUAGCGGUGAAAUGCGUAGAUAUCUGGAGGAAUACCGGUGGCGAAGGCGGCAUCCUGGACCGACAUUGACGCUGAGGAGCGAAAGCUAGGGGAGCAAACGGG
rnacentral:rRNA from 1 species